rnacentral:lncRNA from 1 species
GACCAGCUAGGGAGGGAGCGGCUCAGCAACGCAGACAGGAAAUAAUCACUGUUAUUAUCUGCAGUCCUCCAGAGGAGCUCACAGCAGCCAUGAUGCCCAUAGAGAACUAAGUGUCUCACGGCACCGGGUCCAGGACACAGCAACAACAAUGGCCCUGUUCCAUGUCACCAAACAGAACAUGAGCUGUGGUCAGACCUUCCAAGAAAACAGCAGAAACGAGGAACGGCAGCCAAGUUUCCCGUGCAGGCCAGUUCCAGUUGGCAAGAUGCUGAAGUACCCCCCCCCCCAAUGUAUUGGGGAGAAGGCUCCACGUGGCAGACAGUGAAGCAGAGGUCUCCUCUGCAGCUGCCCUCUCACAGGCUGCUGGGCCCCAACCCCGCAAGCAAAGCUGGCAGAAGAUGGCUGCCAACAAGCUUCACUGCAAAGAGAAUCGCCGUGAAGGCAUGUUUGGAGGCAGAGAAUAUUAUUCAAGGCAGUAAGAAUAUACAGAAGCUGGAGAGAUGGCUCAGCGGUUAAGAGCACUGACUACUCUUCCAAAGGUCCUGAGUUCAAAUCCCAGCAACUACAUGGUGGCUCACAAUCAUCUAUAAUGAGAUCUGAUGCCCUCUUCUGGGAUGUCUGAAGAAAGCU